rnacentral:lncRNA from 1 species
CCGCCGCCACCACAGGCCGGCUCGAUCUCCGGCGUGGGUACCAACGGAACCACCUCAGCCUCGCCGUCCUUCCCCGACCCGUCGCCGCCCUUGGGCCGCCCAGAACUGGCCGGAAAAUCGUGAUUUCCGACCGGUUGUCACCCGAACUUCAAGCUCCUCGUUCUCCCUCAAUUCUCAACCAAAUCUUUCGAGUAAGGUAUGGAUUCUCAUCUAUUUUUCGUGCUCUAGCUGAUGGUUGGAUAGGUUUUUAUCAAUUUUAGCCGUAGAUUGCCCAGUUUGUAAAUUGAAGUUUCAGCCGAUUUUCGGCCUCUGUUUUCGGCCACUUCCAGUCACUUUUUGGGGUAGGUCCAAGAACAAAAGUGACUCCAAAUGGGGUGUUUUACCUAGGAUAGGAGUUUGGAGUCCUGGUUCCGAGAUUUUUCGACCACCCGAAAUCGCUUAAGACACCCAAAUCUGCCCGCGCGUGAUGGGGCGCAUGGGAGAGGGUGGUGAAGUAAUUCUGUACAGUUUUGUGACCCUGGUGUCGUCACGAGCACGUAGGAUUUCGCGGAUCUCAAUUCGGAGUCCGUUUGAGCCCCGAACGGAUUUUUCAUAUCGCGCGAUCUUUGGGUGCAGUGUCGCCAAAUCGGUGGAUCACACUGAAUUUUAGAUAUGUCGGUCUACAUGAUUUCAGGAUUGUGUAGGAUUCGACGGAUUGCGAAUCGGAGUCCCGGAUACUCCGAAAUCGCGAACCCUAGGGCUAGGGUUUAGAAAUUAUGCGAUUACACGAUCGUAAUUAAUCCGACCGUCCGAUUGACACCAAUACCCUCGGGACAUGUGUCCUAAUUAUAUUGGACCUUUUAGCGGCAUCCGGAUCAUGUUAUACCCGUGGGGUUCCGGAUUGACUUUUUGGACUUUAGCGCUUUUUGAGUCCCAAGAUACCGCUAAACGAUCCCACGUGGAAGGAAAGCUGUUGUGGGCAUAGGGAUCACUUUAAAUUGACGCACGUACUUUUAGGAGCCGGGGGUAGGGUUUUUGUUUUUAUUUAAUACUAUAUUGUAUUAAUAGAAUAUUAUGGUCAUUGAAUCAGGCACCCGGGCACCAGUUGACCCGCAGGAGGGACCUUCAAGAGGUCCAGCGAGCUCAGACUAUCAGUGAGUGGACUCUUUGUUUUUAUAAAUGAAUUUAAUCAGUUCAGUUUCAGUUAUAAGCUGUUUUAUGCUGUUAAAUAUUUUAUGUUACAUGCUGCCGAGUGAAGUUUCCUUUUAAGAAUAUAGGAAAAGAUAUUCUCGUUAAUUAUCAGAUAAAUGGCAGCAGAAUUUUAAAGGUUACAGAAAGUUAAUUAUUCAUAAGAUUUUCUUCAGAAACUUUAUAUUUUCUUAAACCACCUUGUACCCAGUUAUUACAUGUUGCCUUCGGAUUAUAUUUGUUGCCUUCGGUUUAGUCAGCAUGCUUGACAGUUGCCCCACGAGUUCCUUGGUACUCGACCUCGUGUGGAGCGAGUAAUGCGGAUAAAGACGGACUACGGUUCCCUGAAUCCUGCGAGUUGCGGCUCAGACUGACCUCGUGUCACUGAGACCUGCGAGUAUGUGUCACCCAUGGUGAUGCAAGGAAUUGACGAAAAUAAGGGUACACCUAGGUGAUAGUUUUCAAUUGUUUUCAAAUGUAUAGUUAUAUACAUUCAUUGAUUUCAGAAAUAAAGAAAAUAAGCUAGUUUGUAUAACUGUUUUUACAGUGGGGUUAGUAUGUUCAUAUAGUAUUUUCUAAACUUUGUUUGGGUCCACUCACCCUUCUUGUUGUUUUGCGCCCCCAGGCAGUAGACGUGCACAGGAAUCCACCACCGGGCCACUUCCCAUCUUCCGCGCCUUUCUUUGAUGUAGGAUUUGUAUUUUGUACAAAGAUUCACUCUUUUGUAAAUUUUUAGUAGUCGCUCUGAUGUUUUGCCCUAGACUGAGAUUUGAACUGUUGGAAUAUAUAUAUGUAUGCUGGCAGUUGGUUGUACAUAUAUACUUGUUUUGACAGGUGUAAGAUUUUGGUAUUGAGCCAGAUACAAGGGAAACUCUGCCGGUUUUUCGGUAGAAGUCAACCUUGAUAUUUUUUAGCAUGUUUGUAUAGAAGGGCAAAUAGAUCAUUUGUGCCCGACAUUCGCCAGGUGUCGGACACGCACAAGGUCUGGCUCGGAUUCCAAAGUGGAAUUUGGAUCGGGUCCUGUCAAGAGUGUUCUACAACUAUUGACAACUUGGACAUACGAAAUAUUUGUGCACCAAAUUGGAUUAGGAGAUUUGUUUCUUGAGUGGGGUAUGUGAGCUCUUUGGCAAGAGGAAGAGAACAUAAGAGAAUAAUGAUGAGAGUAUCUGCGAGAGUGCUAUCGUAAGUGUAACUGGGAGAUGAUGAUUGUGUUUUACUAAAAUUGAUGAACAGGCAGAGGAGACCAAUCUUGAGGGGUCAAUCCAUCGACCCUCAUAAUGAGGUUCAUAAAGAAAGGCGCUUCGCAGCCCACUCCCGAAGAACCUAUUCCCAUCGACAAGCACUACUAAAAAAAGUGAAAAAGACGACCAGAAAACAACGACGGUCUAAGUGAAAACCGUCGUGGUUUUUAAAAAGACGACGGUUCUAAAAACACCGUCGUGUAAUACAACCUUAGACAACUAAAAAAUGGAGAUUCAAAUGGCUGUUCAAAAACAACGACGUACCUAAUUAAACAACCGACGUCUAUUUGAAACAGAUUUCCGCAGUGUAAAAUCAAUGCCAACAAAGAACGGCAGAAGUUAUGAAUCGACCGACGUAGAAAGUAAAGACGACGAUUUCAAUAAAAACCGCCGUUUUUACUCAUAAAAUAACACGACGAGGUUUUCGUAUAAGACGCCAUAUAAUUACAAAUAAAUCCACGGCUUUAAAAUACAAAAUAUCGCCGUCUUAAAUUAAUGUACAACGACGGAAAAUAUAAAUAUAUCGACGUCAUUCUCGUAUAGUUCUACGACGUUAUCUUUAAAUCGUACAAUAAAAUUUAACGUCGUAUUUAUUCAUUUUAUACGUCGUACCUUUAAUUUAAACCGUUGUCUUAAUAAGAAUUUUUGUUAACAAUUUUUUUCUUUGAUUUUCUUAUCCUACGUCGGUAGAUCUACUUAAUGACAAGAAUUGAAAUAACCACGACGGUUUAUAUAGAAAACCGCCGAUAUAAUCAGAUUUGUCUGAGAUCCUAAGGGUUACGAAAUCUUACCAGAUGGAACUCUGUUCCACAUCAUAAUCUUAACAGAAGACACAGAUUUGCAAUCAGAGAGACAAUUUUUUGGAAGUUGAUGAUGUGUGUGUAUCUACAAAUAUUAUACCUAACGUCGUUGCAAAUUUGCAAUCAGAGAGACAAUUUUCAACGACGGUUAUAUUAUACCUAACGACGUUUAAAAAACAAAUCAACGCCGCUCAACAAAUAUAUUACGUCGUCUUAGUCUUACUUAAGACAACGAAACAUGACGACAGUAAUACAAAAAUAGUCGUUGUUUUUAUAUUCUUAUUUUAUUUAAAUCUGUCAUCCAAAAAAGAAACUUUACAUAUUCCCGAACAUUAAUUUCCUUCAUUUUAAAUUUCCUCCGGAAAAAAAAACUCUAUUUAUAACGCACUGUAAUUGAAAAAUAAACUGAAAGGUCACGGGAAAAAAAAUUCUAUUCAUAAUUUAAAAAUUCAAAUCCACGUCGGUUAUAUUAAACCUAACGACGUUAAAUGAAAAGAUUCCACGUCGCAAAACAAAUAUUGCGUCGUGUUAGUUAAAAACGACGGCAUAACAAAAAACCGUCGUUGUUUCAAACUGAAUUAAUUUAAAAUUUAUUCGGGAAAGCAAAAUCUAUUUAUAAUUUCCUCGGGUUAGUAAUAUUGCGUCGUGUUAGUUUACAAAUUCUAGAACAUUAAUUUCCCUCAUUUUAAAUUUCCUCAGGAAAGAAAAAUCUAUUUAUCACGCUUUGUAAUUGAAAACUAAAACUGAAAGAAUUCGGGAAAAAAAACUCUAUUUAUAAUUUAAAAAUAAAAUCCACGUCGGUUGUAGUACACUUAACGACGUUUAACAAAAUAAUCUACGUCGGUAAUUAUAAAUCUACCGCCAUCUUACCUUAAUAUAGACGACGAGAAAAGACGACGGUAGAACAGAAAACCGCCGUUGUUUCAGUUUCUUUAACAGUUUGGUCCUUUAUCUUUCUGCAGGACUUGUAUAGUUCAAAGCAUUGACAAUGUCUUCAUCAUAUCUCCCAGCAAAUACUGAUUCGAUUGCUCAUGCUUUAGAGGCCAUCUGAAGCCAUUUCUAUUCUUUAUCGCAUUCUUGAACCCAUCUUCUUCUUCUGAAGCUCUACGGAUAAAGGAAGAGGCUAUCACAAAUCUGACGGAUCUUCUUAGCCAAGAAAAUCAAGCAGAUUUCCCUGAGAAGCGAACUUUCCUUCGACAGCGAGUGGAGGCCAGGCUUGCAUCUCUUUUGAUGGAAAGCAAGGAGUAUUCAGAAGCACUAAGUGUCCUAUCAGGCUUGAUCAAGGAAGUGAGAAGGCUAGUUGACAAGCUUCUUCUUGUGGACAUAUAUUUGAUGCGAGUAAGCUCAAUUUAUCUUUGAGAAAGACAUCCAAAUUAUUGUCUUUGAGACGUGAGAGACUGAGAGAGGAAGAACUUGGAACCCUAAAUGUAAACCGUAAAUGAAUGAAAGCGACAAAUUUAUAGAAUAAAUUUUUAAAACCAACGGCGGUCCUUACAAAAAUACCGCCGUUUAAAUUGUAAAAUUCACGUCGGUACAUUAAUAAAAACGACGUGUUAAAUAAUCUACCAUGACGCGAGUUAUUACUUAUGUACUUUAAUUUUUGAGUUUACUACGACGGUACCUACAACACUACUGUCGUAUUUAUUUACCACGUCCGAAGUUAAAUGUACCGUCGUAUUUUGUAAUUCAUACGUCGUAGUUAUAUGUAACCGCCGUAUUAUUUUUUUGAAAUGGUUUUAUAUGUAAGCAACUUUUCGUCUACCUGACAUACACAUGCGCUGUUUCCAAACCCGAUUAAAAAUUUCAAUCUUCCAGAGAAAACUUUUAGACUUUUUUCCUUGUCAGAGCACUGUCAGAGUAUCUCAUCGUCUUCCUCUCGUCUUCUUCGUCGUCUCUGAACUUAAACAUAAUCUUCCUCUUGCUUUCAUUGCACGCAAAAGUUAAGCUUUCAUUUUCACUAUUUUGGUUGCUGUUUUGCAUGCUCAUACGUUUUUUGUUUGAAAAAUCUUUUUACCUUUUUUCUGGCCAAAAUCAUUUUACUUCUUUCCAAGUUCGAUAAAAUAUACAGACAAAGAGGGAAAGUUUCCAACUUUGAAGACAACUACCUCAACUAAAUAAGACGACGGUAGCUUCUUAUUUACGUGGUUAAAUAUGUAGACCACGACGGUUCGUCAGUCGUUCUAGCGUCGUCUGAAAAUUGACAAAGUUGUUUUUAAAAUUAUAGUCUUUUUUUUAUUUGCUUGUUUAAUUGCAGGUUUGAUUUCUCUGAACAAUGGUUUUUAUUUUUCCCUAAUUUGAUAAAAUAUAAAGAAAAAGAAAGUAGGGUUGGUAUCUAAUAUAGACGACAGUAUCUUAUUGUUUUACGUCGUGUGAAUGUUAAUACCACGACGUCAUAUUAAAAUACCGUCGUCUAUAUAAGAUUCCAAAACUUUCUUUCUUGGCCUUAUAUUUUAUCAAAUUAGAAAACAAAAACCAUGGUUCAGAAAUUUCAAAUCUGCAAUCAAACAUUCACAGAGAAAGAAAGAAGGGUUUCGGAUCCUUAUAUAGACGACGGUAUAUUACUACUGACGUCGUGUGAACAUCAAUACCACGACAUUAUAUAAAUAUUUCGUCGUUUAUAGUUAAUUAUCACGUCGUUUAUAGUUAAUUAUUUCGUCGUUGUUUAAUUACCUUGGUUUUAAACAUUUAUUACGUCUGAGAUUAUUUCAUUACGUCGUUUAAAAUCAUAUCAUACGUCGUAUUUUAUUAAUAACCGUCGUUUGUGUUCUUAAUCUUUUUCUGAAAUAUUUUCACUUGCAGUUUUGUCUGUAAAAAUGGUUUCUCACCAAGACCAAAGUAAGGAUUCUGGCUUCAAGAAAAAUGGAGGUAAGGAGCUUGGAAUGGUACCUCCUCAAGUGAAG